rnacentral:rRNA from 1 species
UCAGAACGAACGUUAGCGGUGUGAUUAGCAUGCAAGUCGUGCGCGAAAGCCUUCGGGCGAGUAAAGCGGCGAAAGGGUGAGUAACACGUAACCAACGUACCCCCCAGAUCGGGAUAACCACUGGAAACGGUGGGUAAUACCGAAUGGUCCCCCGGAUGGCAUUGUCCGGACGGUAAACGGCAGCUUCGGCUGCUGCUGGAGGAGCGGGUUGCGGCCUAUCAGCUUGUUGGUGUGGUAACGGCACACCAAGGCUAUGACGGGUAGCCGGUCUGAGAGGACGACCGGUCACACUGGGACUGAGACACUGCCCAGACUCCUACGGGAGGCUGCAGUCGAGAAUCUUCCGCAAUGGGCGAAAGCCUGACGGAGCGACACCGCGUGCAGGAUGAAGGCCUUAGGGUUGUAAACUGCUGUCACGCUAUAGGAACGGCGUAGUGUUAAUAGCACUGCGAUUGACCAAAGCGAGAGGAAGAGCCGGCUAACUCCGUGCCAGCAGCCGCGGUAAGACGGAGGGCUCUAACGUUGUUCGGAUUCACUGGGCAUAAAGCGCACGUAGGCGGUUCGUUAAGUCGAAUGUGAAAGCCCCCGGCUCAACCGGGGAAUUGCAUCCGAUACUGGCGGGCUAGAGGACGGCAGGGGUAAGUGGAACUCCAGGUGGAACGGUGAAAUGUGUAGAUAUCUGGAGGAACACCGGUGGCGAAAGCGGCUUACUGGGCCGUCUCUGACGCUGAGGUGCGAAAGCUAGGGUAGCGAACGGGAUUAGAUACCCCGGUAGUCCUAGCCGUAAACGAUGGGCACUAGGCAAUGGAGCAUCCUAUGGGCUUCAUUGCCGGAGCUAAUGUGUUAAGUGGG